CUUCGGAAUCAGCCUUUGCAGAAAUCAAGAAGUAGACCAGUAGGGAGUGGUAACUAAAGUUUUGGGAAGUAACAUUUUGGUAAAACUUUAAUGACCAGCUUUAUCACUUACACACUACUGUUCCGAGACCUGCUCUUUUGAACAACUAAUUAAUUUUCUUCGGGCAAUUACCCAGGCAGCAGAGAUGGGCUGCUGUAGGCCCUUGCCCCUAGGCAUGGUCUGAGUUAAAUGAGCAGCAGAAGAACCUGGAAGUGGCAGGCUUGUAGCCACUCCUUCCUGAGGUCAGCACUUCAAGCACUUGCAUGUUCUUGGCCCAGCAGCAGCACAGCAUCAUACACAGAUACACAGUACCACAUGAAGUUAUAGCCAGUACAUCUCCACUUGGUCGCAGCUACCUCCAAAUGCUAAAAGCAACCAGAAAAAACUUGGGUAUUACCUCAUCUCCUCCUCUUUCCUCGUCCUGUCUGCCGAAUCUAUUAUUUACUGGAUUGGAACAAUCUGCCAGCCCGGCAGGGGAAGUGAAGUUUACGUUUCAUGGAGAAGAUUCUGUCACCUUAUGCAGUCCUUGAAAUGGGAGCUCCUGGUUGAUCCUUCGAUAGUGGAAACCAACCUUUCUCCUUCAGCCUACCACCACCUUGGGCAUUCAAAGACAUGACUACUUCACCAAAGAAGAAGGUAUCAACCUAAAGGAGUGGAGUACACUGAAGCCUGGAGUCAAAAGAGACAAGUGACGGAAAGAUCAGCAGGGCUGAAAUCUGACCAUGAAGAUCCACAGGGAUCCUAUUUGUGGAUUGGCAAUAGGUGCUCUGGUCUGAAGUGUAUGGAGGGGUUGGGGGUGGGGGUGGCAGCAAUCUUUCUGGCUUGGGACCUGGGGAGACUCUGGGACCUGCUGUGGUUGGAGGAUCUUCUACAGGUUCCUGGUUCUCCAGAGGAUCCAGAGGCACCAGAGUGACCUCCUCUUUCUCAGUAUUUGUGGGAUUGAACCAAGGAGAGAGGUCUGAGGCUCUGCAUUGACCAGUGUGAGCAACAAUUUCAAAACUAGGGUCAAGUUUAGAUUCCAUUCCUACCCAGAAGCUAGUGAAGCCUGGGGAUUUGUAUUAAUCUUAAAAAUAUAAAAUUAUUUAAAUUUGGCCUUAUGUCUUUCUGUGUGUGUGUGUUUGCUCAUGAUCUACCCUUCCAUUCCAACUCUUUUCUCUUGUUAACCUGCUACUAGUAGAAGAGAAAUUUAUUUCUGCCAUAAAGUCCUUCAAGUAAUUUGACUCCCAGUAACUCUCAGGAGUGGUGGAGCUGAGGAGAAGGACCUGGAAUUGAGUUUGUGAAAUGAUAAAUACAAAUGCUCCUGAAUGUGCUUUUCUUCUAUUUUUCAUUCAUAUUCUUUCUCUGAUAGUAGUUUCUGGUCCUGCAAAAUAUUGCACCACCUACAACGAUCCCAGUACUGUUUAAAACUUUUAGUAAAAAAUAGUGUCCUAAUGUAAGACCAUUUUCUCCUGAAUGAUUACAAAUAUAUAACAUUAACAUAGGGUGUUAAUAGUUGAGUGGAAACUUGGAAAAUACACCAAAAUGUUGGGGGAAAAAUACACCAAAUGUAAGAUAUGGGCUAUAGUUAAUAGUAGUAUGCUCUUGAUGAUGCUCUUUCAUGGUAGGUAAUAAGUACUUCACAACAGUGCAAAGUGUUGUCGGUGGGGUGAUGUAGGAUAUAUGCAUGCUUGUUUUGUAAAUUCACAAAUUUUACUAUAC
rnacentral:lncRNA from 1 species